GAGAGCCGGGUGCGGUGACAAGUCGCAUGCCCGGUUCGGUGGGGGGCCGUCGGAAAAGGGUCCACAACUGUGGAUACCUCGCCGGCGGCCUACCCUGC
rfam:Streptomyces agglomeratus strain 6-3-2 2, whole genome shotgun sequence.